UGCGUAGGCGGAAUGAUAAGUUAGUGGUGAAAGCCCCCGGCUCAACCGGGGAACUGCCAUUAAUACUGCCAUUCUUGAGUAUAGUUGAAGUGGGCGGAAUGUAUCAUGUAGCGGUGAAAUGCUUAGAUAUGAUACAGAACACCGAUAGCGUAGGCAGCUUGCUAAACUAUAACUGACGCUCAGGCACGAAAGCGUGGGGAGCAAACAGGAUUAGAUACCCUGGUAGUCC
rnacentral:rRNA from 1 species